GCGAACAGACGAGGAGCUUGCUCCUCUGACGUUAGCGGCGGACGGGUGAGUAACACGUGGAUAACCUACCUAUAAGACUGGGAUAACUUCGGGAAACCGGAGCUAAUACCGGAUAAUAUAUUGAACCGCAUGGUUCAAUAGUGAAAGACGGUUUUGCUGUCACUUAUAGAUGGAUCCGCGCCGCAUUAGCUAGUUGGUAAGGUAACGGCUUACCAAGGCAACGAUGCGUAGCCGACCUGAGAGGGUGAUCGGCCACACUGGAACUGAGACACGGUCCAGACUCCUACGGGAGGCAGCAGUAGGGAAUCUUCCGCAAUGGGCGAAAGCCUGACGGAGCAACGCCGCGUGAGUGAUGAAGGUCUUCGGAUCGUAAAACUCUGUUAUUAGGGAAGAACAAAUGUGUAAGUAACUAUGCACGUCUUGACGGUACCUAAUCAGAAAGCCACGGCUAACUACGUGCCAGCAGCCGCGGUAAUACGUAGGUGGCAAGCGUUAUCCGGAAUUAUUGGGCGUAAAGCGCGCGUAGGCGGUUUUUUAAGUCUGAUGUGAAAGCCCACGGCUCAACCGUGGAGGGUCAUUGGGAACUGGAAAACUUGAGUGCAGAAGAGGAAAGUGGAAUUCCAUGUGUAGCGGUGAAAUGCGCAGAGAUAUGGAGGAACACCAGUGGCGAAGGCGACUUUCUGGUCUGUAACUGACGCUG
rnacentral:rRNA from 1 species